CGCCGGAGCCCAGGAAAAAAGGGGGUCCCAGGGUGGGACGUUCUGCUGCUCAGCUAGCUCGCCGGCCCGGGGAGUUCUGCAGCCCCGAAGUUGGGGCGGGACCUGGACUCUGCGAAGGGCGGGAAGAAGCAGCGCGAGCAAGACCAAUAGGUGGAUUUUUGUCACUUACAACUAAGAUUAUUGACUAAAGCAGCCUUGUCAUACGUCCAGGCUCUGAGUCCCUCUCUGCCUACUUCUUCAGCCUCAUCUGGACCACUCCACCCAGCUCCACACUCCAGCUACUGAGAGAGAAGAGAGAACAAGCACGAGCAGAGGGGGAAGCACUCUCUCUGCGAGCAGGAGCCCGACACGGGACGCGAUCCCAGGACCUGAGCCGAAGGCAGACGCCUAACCGACUGAGCCACCCGGGCGCCCCU